GAGUGGCGAACGGGUGAGUAACACGUGGGUGAUCUGCCCCUAACUUCGGGAUAAGCUUGGGAAACUGGGUCUAAUACCGGAUAGGACAAUCGUUUAGUGUCGGUUGUGGAAAGUUUUUUCGGUUAGGGAUGAGCCCGCGGCCUAUCAGCUUGUUGGUGGGGUAAUGGCCUACCAAGGCGUCGACGGGUAGCCGGCCUGAGAGGGUGGACGGCCACAUUGGGACUGAGAUACGGCCCAGACUCCUACGGGAGGCAGCAGUGGGGAAUAUUGCACAAUGGGCGCAAGCCUGAUGCAGCGACGCCGCGUGGGGGAUGACGGCCUUCGGGUUGUAAACCUCUUUCGACAGGGACGAAGCUUUGGUGACGGUACCUGUAUAAGAAGCACCGGCUAACUACGUGCCAGCAGCCGCGGUAAUACGUAGGGUGCGAGCGUUGUCCGGAAUUACUGGGCGUAAAGAGCUCGUAGGUGGUUUGUCGCGUCGUCUGUGAAAUUCCGGGGCUUAACUUCGGGCGUGCAGGCGAUACGGGCAUAACUUGAGUGCUGUAGGGGAGACUGGAAUUCCUGGUGUAGCGGUGGAAUGCGCAGAUAUCAGGAGGAACACCGAUGGCGAAGGCAUGUCUCUGGGCAGUUACUGACGCUGAGGAGCGAAAGCAUGGGGAGCGAACAGGAUUAGAU
rnacentral:rRNA from 1 species